rnacentral:misc_RNA from 1 species
AGCUCGGGGAAUGGGAACAGGCCGAGCGGUCACUCCGCGCCGCGUGGCGCCUCUGCUGGCGGGAGCCUGCCGACCCGACCGGCGCGCGGGUGUGGUUCCUCGCCGCGGCAAGUGCCGCGCUACGAGGCCACGAGACGGCCCCGGCCCUGGGACGGUUGAAAGCCCGCAUGAAAGGCGGAAUGCCUCCGGCCGCUCCUGGCGACACGUUCGCCGUCGAUCUGGUCCGCCGCUCUCUGGGUUCGCAGCGAGCACGCUACUUCGAGCGGCUGCUCGAGGAACUGGCGAACCCGUCCACCCCCAGCGCCAUGGCCGACUGGCGCGAGUGGGAGGAUGCGCCCGAGCUGCCCCUCGAUCCUUCCUGGCCGAAGCCGCCACCCUGUGCCCCCGUCGAACUGACCCGCCGGUCGCGUUCCGCCCGGCGGAAACUGGCCGUGGCGCUCGUGGUGCUUCCCAUCCUCGUCGCGCUGAUCAUGGUCUGGACCGCGGUCGCCGCCGACCCUGCCGAUUUCCUCACGGCCGAGGCGGCCCGACAGGCACCAGUCCCGACUCCCGACUGGGGUUUCGUUCGCUUGCGCCUGUGGUGGUACGCGCUGUCUGACCUCUC